AUGUCCUCGACGUACCUGGUGGCACUUUGCCAGGCUGUCGACCUUCGCCACCUGGAGCAAAACAUCAAAAUCUUUGUCAACACAUGUGUGGUGCAGGCUGCUAAGAAAGUGGUCGACGCCACCAGUAUUCAGAACAAGCUCGCAGCCGCCGUCGACCGCGUGGACGUUUUCAAGCACGCUGACAACCCAUGCAGCGCCAACUACCCCGUGAUGCACAAGCUGCGCAGUGUGCUCCUUGAGCACGCUCUUGGUAGCAAGAGCACUGACGACGAGGUGUUGUCCACAAUCAGUAAGCCGGAGGAGGAGCUAGUGAUAGCGUUGCCACGGGAGGUCGAAGCGGCACGUGUGGCCAUGGAGAUGGGCAGUGCACCCAUAUCAAACAUGAUCAAGGGGAGAAUGUCAUUCCCACUCUAUCAGUUUGCUGGUGAGGAACUCGGAUGCGUGUUUCUAACCGGGGAGAAGCUUCUCGCACUUGACGAAGAGUGUGACAAGGUGUUCGUGGGGGUCAGCCAAGGCAAGCUCAUCGACCCCAUGCUUAAGUGCCUGAAAGAGUGGAACGGUGAGCCUGUGCCCAUCAACUGA
rnacentral:rRNA from 1 species